CUCCUUCGGGAGNNCNUUAAUGGCGAACGGGUGAGUAACACGUGGGCAAUCUGCCCUUCACUCUGGGACAAGCCCUGGAAACGGGGUCUAAUACCGGAUACGACACGGGGUCGCAUGACCUCCGUGUGGAAAGCUCCGGCGGUGAAGGAUGAGCCCGCGGCCUAUCAGCUUGUUGGUGGGGUGAUGGCCUACCAAGGCGACGACGGGUAGCCGGCCUGAGAGGGCGACCGGCCACACUGGGACUGAGACACGGCCCAGACUCCUACGGGAGGCAGCAGUGGGGAAUAUUGCACAAUGGGCGAAAGCCUGAUGCAGCGACGCCGCGUGAGGGAUGACGGCCUUCGGGUUGUAAACCUCUUUCAGCAGGGAAGAAGCGAGAGUGACGGUACCUGCAGAAGAAGCGCCGGCUAACUACGUGCCAGCAGCCGCGGUAAUACGUAGGGCGCAAGCGUUGUCCGGAAUUAUUGGGCGUAAAGAGCUCGUAGGCGGCUUGUCACGUCGGAUGUGAAAGCCCGGGGCUUAACCCCGGGUCUGCAUUCGAUACGGGCAGGCUAGAGUUCGGUAGGGGAGAUCAGAAUUCCUGGUGUAGCGGUGAAAUGCGCAGAUAUCANGANGAACACGGGUGGCGAAAGCGGAUCUCUGGGCCGAUACUGACNCUGAGNAGCGAAGCCGUGGGAAGGAACNAGAUNNANACCCC
rnacentral:rRNA from 1 species